UUGGAUUUGUAUUUGACAGGGGAGUUGGAUUUUCAUGAGAUUGACUAGUAUUCUCCCCAGCACUUCCACCCGAACAGCCUGAGGAGGAGGAGGAGAUGAGAGAGAAGUGGUCAUAGGCGAGUUUAGCAGCGUCGCUUUGAGCUUUCUUAGAGGAAGAAGAGGGAGAAGGAGAGGAAAAGGAGAUG